AAGUCUGAUGUGAAAAGCCGGAGCUUAACUCCAUGAACUGCCUUGGAAACUGAUGGGCUUGAGUGUGGUAGAGGCAGAUGGAAUUCCCGGUGUAGCGGUGAAAUGCGUAGAUAUCGGGAAGAACACCAGUGGCGAAGGCGCUCUGCUGGGCCAUCACUGACGCUCAUGGACGAAAGCCUGGGGAGCGAAAGGGAUUAGAUACCCUGGUAGUCCAGGCCGUAAACGAUGAACACUAGGUGUUGGGGGAAUCGACCCCUUCGGUGUCCUAACCAACGCGUUAAGUGUUCCGCCGGGGGAGUACGCACGCAAGUGUAGAACUCAAAUGAAU
rnacentral:rRNA from 1 species